GAAGUGGGGAAGAGUCUGCGUUUCAGCGGGCACGUCCAUCUGGCACCCCUUUAAGCAGCAGCUCUCUUUACUUCCCUCCCUCCGAAUCUUCAUGCAGCAAGGAGAGUGAUCCAGUUUUUGCAGCUUCAGCUUUUAUUCUUAGAACUUUUAAACAUUAAAUCUGUGAAUAAUUUUAAAGUAAUGAUUGGUAGCAAGGCCAGGAUGUAAGGGACCGGAAAAGAUGGCUUAUAUUCUGGAGUACAGCUUUCUCCUUAUUGAAAUAUUCUUUGUUUUUUUACCAGAUUUAUUUCAAUUUUAAAGCCAUGUUUCCCAACCAAGAACAAAUUUGCACCCCACAAGACACUUGGCCAGGUCUGGAAUACGUUCAAUUACCAAAAAGAAGUGGGGGCAGCAGCUGGCAUCUGCUUUUGCUACAAUGCCUCAGUUGCUUGAUUUAAAUCCAAUGGGACUCAAAAUGGCCCAUUUUCCCAGUGAUGGAUCUUUGGCAUCGAGAACAUAUUUGUUGAAGAAAUGAAUGCCCAGAAGUGAACGCCCACCAAGACUGCAAGCUGCCCACAGAAAACCAGCCCAAGCCACAUCAUCGGAACCCUGUUUGUCAUUGCUGUUUCUCACUAGGGAAGCAGCGGUCCUCAAGUUUUGGUGUGUGGGGAGAGUGUCUAGAAAGCAUGGGAAAUGACAAAGAGCUCAGCUGCCUGGGUGAUCCUCGUGCCCAAACUGACAAAUGAGUCGUCAAGAAGUUUUAUUAACAACCAGCUGAAAAUAUGACUUAUAAUAAUACAAUGUUGAUGCAAUCACACAAUGUUUUCCUUAAAAUCUUUGAGGAGGUGAAUCUUAGUUUGAAUAAAAAUAUCCAA